AAUUUUGAAAAAAUGGAUAGGUAGAGAUAAAGACGAUAAUAAAGAAUAAAAAAAAAAGAAGAUGGAAAUUCAAAAAAAAAAAAUUUUUUUUUUUUGAAUUUCCAUCUUCUUUUUUUUUUAUUCUUUAUUAUCGUCUUUAUCUCUACCUAUCCAUUUUUUCAAAAUUAGUGGCCUAAGUUUUUCGUUCUUCUAAAAAGUUUCUUCAUUGCAAGGUAACUAGGCGGAGACCAACUAGUCCAUUCCCAAAAAUUAUACAGAAUAGCUAGAAAAAAAAGUCCAGCUUUUAUUUUCAGUUCAUGCAUUACUUCUGAAAGGGUGGGGAAAAUUUGUGUACUAUCGAGAAGAUAUUUCCCGGGAUACCAUUGAGCAAAAUUGUAAAAUAAGAAAGGAAAAUUGAGUAUC
rnacentral:RNase_P_RNA from 11 species